AGUUCAGUAAGCAAACAACACAAAAGUAAAAGUAAAGGGGGAUAGAAACAAAAACCCUUCGCCGUUCGCUCUAAAACCUUCAUCGCCGUUCGCAAUCAAUCAACGCCGUUCGCCCUUGACUGCCACUUCAAAUCACAGGUUAUGUCAUUCUCUCUGGUUCUUCUGUCGUUCGUGUUCUCUCUCUCAUUCGAUCUCUGUUCUUUUUUUCUCUGUUUUACUCCCAUUCGUUGUUGUUAUCUCGUUUGCUCUCUAUAAUUUAUUCCAUUUUCAUGAUUAUUUGUUGUGUAUCUGAACGUUUAUUAACUUAUUUGCAAACCCUAAUUCGUUCUCACGUUUUGUGCUUGGAUACUAAUACUAAUAUUGAGUCUAGAGGUACCGUUUUUAUUUUGCUUGGAAUCUGAUUUUUUUGACAGUUAAGCUAUGUUUGGAUAAAUGACGGGGGUUGAAUGGGAUAGCAUGAAAUGAAUAUAUCAUACCAUUGUUUUGGUAUUUUAUGAAAUAUUGAAGGAAAGAAGAUUUGUUGUCCUGGCAUCUUCUUUUUUAUCGAGCCAAACUAAGGAACAUGUUACUCGUGAACAGGAGCAACUCAUCGUCUUCGUCAAAAUGGUUUGCUAGCUUACUGCCAAUGCACUCAACAAAGCUGAUGAAGAAACUAUCAAAAAGUUGAUUUACCCUGUUGGGUUUUAUAUAAGAAAAGCUAGCAACUUGAAGAAAAUUGCUUAUAUUUGUCUCACAAAGUAUGAUGGAGACAUUCCUAACUCGAUUGAAGAACUACUCUCACUUCCAGGCGUAGGUCCUAAGAUUGCUCAUUUGGUUAUGAUUAUUGGAUGGAACAAUGUACAAGGGAUAUGUGUAGAUACUCAUGUCCACCGCAUUUGCAAUCGUCUUCGAUGGGUUUCGAGAUCAGGCACAAAACAGAGAACUUCCUUACCGGAAGAAACAAGAAAGGCGCUGCAACGGUGGCUUCCAAGGGAAGAAUGGGUUGCAAUAAAUCCUCUUUUGGUAUGCAUAGAUAACAGCAUUUGAGGAGCGAGCAAAAGCGGCAGAACACGAAGCACGAGAGGCGCGAGAGGAGCUAAGGAAAGUUGAGCAACGUUGACAAGAGGAAGUUCAACAAACAGAGCAACGCACUACAUAACUACAGAUGCAACUAGCAACAUUGGCAAAAAAUGUUGCUUCCAUACAGGUUGAGUCAUCCUGUCGUCGUCGCCAUCCAGAUUAUGACGAGGAUGAGUCUAACGAUGAUGACGGCGAGGAGUACUACUGGUUUCAGUUUCAGUUUCGUAUAGUAGUUAUGACUACUUAUUUUGUUUAGACUUGUAGGCAUUAUCUAUAUAUAUUUCUACGAUAGUGUCGUUAUGUGUAUUUUGAAACUUAUGGCAGUAAUAAUGUGCUUAUUUUGAGAAUCAUGGUAGUGUAAAUUGUCCUUAUUUUGAGACUUAUGGAAGUCAGAAUGUGUAUUUUGAAAA